rnacentral:rRNA from 1 species
GACGAACGCUGGCGGCGUGCUUAACACAUGCAAGUCGAACGGAAAGGCCCUGCUUUUGUGGGGUGCUCGAGUGGCGAACGGGUGAGUAACACGUGAGCAACCUGCCCUUGACUUUGGGAUAACUUCAGGAAACUGGGGCUAAUACCGGAUAGGAGCUCCUGCUGCAUGGUGGGGGUUGGAAAGUUUCGGCGGUUGGGGAUGGACUCGCGGCUUAUCAGCUUGUUGGUGGGGUAGUGGCUUACCAAGGCUUUGACGGGUAGCCGGCCUGAGAGGGUGACCGGCCACAUUGGGACUGAGAUACGGCCCAGACGCCUACGGGAGGCAGCAGUGGGGAAUAUUGCACAAUGGGCGGAGGCCUGAUGCAGCAACGCCGCGUGCGGGAUGACGGCCUUCGGGUUGUAAACCGCUUUCGCCUGUGACGAAGAGUGAGUGACGGUAAUGGGUAAAGAAGCACCGGCAAACUACGUG